AUCUUGAACAUACCCUUUGUACAUAAAUUUUAGAUUUUAUAGACUUUUAGAAAUAAAUCACAUAGACGCAACCAAAAUAUGUUUCACUAUGUGGUCAUGAUGCAAGUCAGUUGUUAUACCGUUGAUAGGCAUUUAGAUUCACGUAUAUCAUUGAAGAUUGUGAACAUUAUUUUUUGACAUGCAAAUUUCUGAAAUCAUUUUGGGAUCAAAUAAAACUAUUACUUAAUAAACUUAAAAUAGGAC
rnacentral:lncRNA from 1 species